UACGUAGGGGGCAAGCGUUGUCCGGAUUUAUUGGGCGUAAAGAGCGUGUAGGCGGCUUGGUAGGUCUCGCGUCAAAACCUGAGGCUCAACCUCAGUUCGCGUGGGAAACCACCUAGCUAGAGUCCGGAAGAGGAGAACGGAAUUCCCAGUGUAGCGGUGAAAUGCGCAGAUAUCAGGAGGAACACCGAUGGCGAAGGCAGGUCUCUGGGCAUUAACUGACGCUGAGGAGCGAAAGCAUGGGGAGCGAACAGG
rnacentral:rRNA from 1 species